GGCUCCCGCACGAUUUUGGCGCCCCGUUCCCGUGCUUUCUGCAGAGAAGAUGGGAUCGGGGAAUUGGUGAGGGCUGGAGCCUUCCAGAACCCUUGCCUGCUGCUCCUGCCAGGUGGCCUCUGCGUGGUCCUGCAGGCCCCUCCAGUUUCUCCAGCCCCAGAUGGAGUCUUGCUCUGUCGCCCAGACUGGGGUACAGUGGCAUGAUCUCGGCUCAUUGCAACCUCUGCCUACCAGGUUCAAGAGAUUCUCCUGCCUCCGCUUCCCUGGGAUUACAUGUGCCCACCACCACACCCAGCUAAUUUUUGAAUUUUUAAUAGAGAUGGGGUUUCACCAUCUUGGCCAGGCUGGUCUUGAACUCCUGACCUCGUGAUCCACCCGCCUUGGCCUCCCAAAGUGCUGGGAUUAUAGGCAUGAGCCACCAUGCCCAGCCUGUACCAUGAUUUCUUUAACCAGCUCCUAGAAUCAAGCAUUACCAAGAUCUUCCCAUUAGAAACAGCAUGGAUGGUGAUCUAGCUCAUUUGAAUGUAGAGUUUAAUGCUCUUUAACAAUUGCUUUAUUAAAUUACUCUGAAUUUAUAUUAAUAA